rnacentral:lncRNA from 1 species
AGUCGGCUACCCACAAAGCCCCGCGAAGGAAGCGUUCCGGAAGUGACGUACUGGGGCGGAGACUCGAGUGUGUCGUCACUCUGAGUGCGCCGCAUGCCGGGCUCUUUCUCUCGCAGCUGGUGCGGGUGUUGGGGCCUGGUCCAGCUUGCAAAAGCUCGCAGGGACCAGAGAAAAGAGAACGAUGUCAGACGUAGAAACAAAUGGCGUGUCAAGUUUUGCAGAAAGGGAGGGAAGAGUGAAGCUCCGGGAGCCGACCACGAUUGGUGGCGCCUCUGUGACGUCCAACGGCAGAGGUGCCUCUGAAGCAGAACUCUUGAGAUGGAAGGAUUGUCAUCUGAGGAAACAAAAUCGAGAUUAAGAGAGGAGGGACUAGAAUGAGAUUCACUUACCCUCUCUCCUCCAAGGGAAGGAGAGAAUGGUGAUGCCUGCCCAAUCCUUCCUGGGCAGAACCUUUGUAGCAUGGAACAUUGGAGAAUUUGCAGUCUGCUGACUUUCUGAUUUAGGAGGUUGAUGGGGAGGCCUUAUAAUUUGCAUUUCUAACAAGUUCUGAGGUGAUGCUUCAAAUAUGUCCAGGCAGAAGGGCUGCCACACAGAGACUUCUGCCAUACCACAUGAGAAUUGAAGCCACAGACAUCUCCAGCCCUCAAGCCUGAAACCAAAAGACUGAAAACCAAACACUACAGUGAACAAAGAACAUCUCAGAACUUCUGUGGGGACCAGUGACACAAGGACCUAAGGUCUCUCUCUUCUCAUCUUGGCACUUCAGUAGUCUCCCCAAUCUUGACAAAGCCCUGGAGAAAGGGGCGGGCCUCCCGUUGAUAAGAUUGUCACCGCAGGUAAAUGGAGGUUUCAAACUGAAAGAAAGGACGAGGCCCACUGCAGAUAAAUGGAGGUUUCAACUUGAAAGAAAGGAGGAGGGCCUCCUGUUUGAUAAGAUUAUUGUCACUGAAGGUAAAUGGAGGCUUCAAAUAGAAAUAGGUUUCAGUUACAGAAAAAAAAAUUAUCUUUGUUACACAUUUGAGUUUGCAGGCCUAAGGUUACGCCCGCUACAUUGUCAUCUGUAACCAUAAGGCACUCAACAUUUUAAGCUAACUGUAAGGAUUUUUGCUUCACUCAAAGAUCCUGAGGUUUUAUUUACAUUUUUAUUUGGUGACUAUAGUUGACAAGAACAAAGCUGUGGUGAAUCAAUAAACACUGCCAUGCCUGGCA